GGCUGAUUAUUAAAGCUGACCCAGCCUCAUGUUCCUGCGUGGAAGCAUGAUGGUGAGCCAUUCAGCUGUAUCAGUGCAUUCACAGUGAGCUCAGGCCUUGGACCGUCACUGUGCAAUGCAGAGACACCCCUGGAGUGAUUCAGAGGGACCAGCUCACAAUUACCCAAGAUGCUGCUGAGAGACAUUGCUUCUGCAGGACUGUGUGAUUCAAGCCCUGGAUGACUUUCAUCUAUGAAGGGAAGACAGUUCAUUUUCCUGAGAGAAGAGUUUGAGGGGCGAUUUUGCCUCAGAACACCAGCUAACACUUAAAAGAGGUGACAGAAUGAAGCUUGAAGACCACAUUAAUGAAACCCAGUCCUGACCCACAACCAGCAAUCCCCAGCUCUGUGCUAUUGCAAACAAGUGCUUUCCUCUUGGACAGUGACUUUUAUAACAAGUCUGCCUGUUUCCUCAGAUACUUGCUCUCAAGAUGAGUCACUCUUCCAUGAAGUCUGCCAUGAAGAUAACAUCUUCCUCCUCUACAUAGCACAUCACCUUUUAGUGCUGCAGCAUGUGAAAAUGUUAACUUCAAAGCACAGCAUGGACCGUUCGAAUACCAACAUCAUUACACUGGGCAGCGUAACACUGCCUACACCUAAUUAAUGCUUGUACAACGCUUUGAAGAUACAAAAGUUAUGAUUACUGACUAAUAACAGUAUUGAACUAAUACAAAAGCUGGGCUAAUUCCUACUGAAACGAGUGUGGAAACCAUUUAGAGUUCCAUCACACCACACCACCACUCCAACAAACUCCUGUGUAGGGGUGGAGGGGAAUGGGAGAAGUCAAGUCCAGACCUUGCUAUGGUGACUCUCCUGCCUCUGACACAAAGGAAAGCGGAGAUCAGUGCUUCUGGUUUAAUACCCAUGACUUCUUUUGAAACAAGAUAAAAAGCAUCCCUGAAGUAUCAAAAAAAUUAACCACAUGAACGUUCAGCCUUAUUAUUAAACAUAAUCUUCACAGAAUUCAUUAUGCCUUUUAUAAAGCUUCAUGCCAGGUACGUACAGUGUAGUACCUCAUCACAACUUAGAGAAAAGGAAAGAGGUUGUAGCGAGUAUUGUCAAUCCUUUCUUGAGUGCUGUGGAAUAGACAUCUUCAUGCUGUAUUCUUGUAAUUAACGUGACAGUAAGUCACAGCCACAAGGAAUUAAAAUCUAAUAUCCCCUUCUCCAGCAUAUGCAACAGCAUCUUCUGCUACGUAUUUCUACCCUAGGUUGUUCAAGUUUAUGCUAGACUCACCCCUGCAGGAAGCCCCAUCCUUAUGGGAUAUAAGAGUAUGAAUGACUGAUGUGUGGGAUCUGGUGAAUCCAACUCGAUUCAUCAUCCCAUCAUUGCUCCCCAGGUAUCGGCUCAGUUGCCCUCUAGCACAGUACGACAGAAAAGAACUGCCUCCAAUUCAGGCAUUCACUGGAUCUGUUUCUUUCCAGGAAUGCACAGCUCUACCGUACCUGUUGCCCCACAUACCCAAGAACUGGGAUAACUAUUUCCAAUGCCAUUAUUACAUUUUCAGAAUUACUCAUUUCUAUAGCUACGUUUGCAUGGAAUCAAAACCACUCAUUUCAAUCAGGAAAAAAAAUUUACAUUAAGCACGAACAUCUUUUGGAAUGGAACCCCUUGAUCCCAGCUGCCACCAAACCUUACCUGGUCUGCACUAAGCCUCAUGGACACUCCUUUUCAUUAGGGGGCUACACCUGGCAUACCGUCAUCACAGACGGCACACUCACCGAGUAGACUCUUACCAAGUCCAAGGGACAAAAGAGCAAGACCGUCUCAUUCAACUGUAAGCGAAAUCCAUCUUGCCACUGGCCAGCAGGCCACUCAUGUGCUUCCGCUCUGUAAGCUGCACAGUAAAACGUUUUCAUCUUAAACAGAUUAGCAGUGCAGUGCCAAACAGUAAAUUUAACUACAGCAUUCUUAAACCUUCAUGUUGCACUCCUCCUUCCACACCACUUCGUGCAAGGCUUACCCAAAAUUGCAAUCCAGCACUGGGAGGCUAACACGAGGUGUACAUUUCAGAAUAAGGGUUUUGCCCUUCCACAACAAUCAUUUACUCACUUUGUGCCCUUGACUUGGUGCCGUUUCAACAUUAAGGAAGGAUCACCGCAGGCAUUGUUACAGAGUCCUCCCUAAUGGGGUGCUUUUACAAAACCUAAAGAGUGCCAUUUAUCAUUGUGGCUUUCCAUUCCUGCAGAAAAUUCUUCCCAGUGUUUCAAUACCAGACAACUAGCCGUAUUUAAGUAGUGAAUUUCAAGUAUCUUUUUAAGUAUUUGGAUGUUCAGAAUCCUUCAGACACUUACUUUAAAAGUACCUCAGUGCAGUAAAUACAACUAUAUUCAUUAUCCACAAUGUCAUGCAGA